rnacentral:lncRNA from 1 species
GUCAGUGUGGGCUUUGGACUUUACUGCAUUGCAUGGAACAAAGGAUGCACAGAGAUUGAAUGUUUUUAUUACAGUUUGUGUAUUGCAAAGAGCAAGGGGAAAAAUCAAGGAUAUGACCCCGAUUCCUUUGUUUGGCCCAUUAUCCAGUCUGAUACAUUGGACAACAGGCUCUGUCGUCUUAGGGCUCAGCUGGUGGGAUCCCUGCAAGUACAUCCAGGAGCUUCAUACCAGCCACUUCUGAAAAUCCUCAUGGGGCCAUGGAACUCCAUUGUCACAAGCACAGGUCACUGCGUCGCUAUUCCUUGUUUUCAAUUCAAGCUGGAAGAAAGUCAAGUCAGAGGUUCUGUUCUGAGCUUCUCCGCUGACGUGCUUGGUGAGCUUGGGCUCCUGACAUUUGGCUCUGAGUGUCAGCUACAAAGCAUAAUUUGAAGCCGGUGUGAGCAGCUAAGGAAAAAACUACUACCCAAUUCAUGGAAGGGCAUCAGAGUCUGACCUGCUCUAUUUAGCCAUUCAUUAUUUCUCCAAUAUCUGUCAAUGGAUAUUCUUGCGUGAUAUAUAGCUACUUAGAAACAUAUUGCCAAAUCAUGCUAAAUAAUUUCAAUUUGUGCUGUCAAAUUGCCUGACGAUUUCAUUCUGGAUUAUUUUCAGGAUCUGUAUUUCUUUCCUGCUUCUCACUGCUGAAGGGGUUUUUUAUCUAUAUGAUGGAUAAUGGUGCCAUCCUUAAUAUUCUCUCUCACAAAUAUUCUUCCUCUCUCUUUGGUCCUCUACCAGCUUAUUCCACACAGAGGCACAUUACAAAACUGGGCUUCCUGAAAAACAUCAUUGAAAGAGUUGUCUGCCAGUGACAUGUGACACUGUCUCAAAUCCCAGAUGGGAUAACUGAAGUGAGUCUGUCACUGAGCUUGAGUCAUCAUUCAAACCCAGAGUUCUUACCUGGGUUACUUUCAGGAAAACAAAUAUUGGAAAUCCAUUUCCCACUAGCCACCAGCCAAAGCAUAUCACCCUCACUCAGAUAAAACUCUUCCCUUUUGCUGGAAAUAAGACUGCAUAACCUGUGCCCAGCAUCCUGCAUUUUAGGCUUGUUUUAGUACCACCUAAGUGGUAGCAAUACUGCUGAGAUCAGCAGGCAAGGAAAUAGGUCUGGUGUUCAGAAAGCCACAUGCUAAAUAGCUGAGAAGAAUUAAGAGCUGGGAAUCGGGAAAUAAAGGUUGUGUUUCCAUUUCUUCAGGUGAUCCACUUUGUUACUUUGGACAGAUCACUUUCCUCUCUCAAUCUCUUUCUCUCUGUAAAGAAGAUAGUAAGCUCAAUUAGAUGGUAAACUCAAGAGAUGAAGGUGGUAAGAAUUCACAUAGGGCAAUAUCAGCCACAUCUCUGCCUGUACUCCUUGCUGGUCUUUUGAUUAUUUGAAUUUUCCCUUUUGUACAUGAACAAAUUUAAAGCUAUUUGUUUACCCUUAAAAAAUAGUGCUAGCUGUUACUACUUGUUUGAGGGUUAAGGAAGGGAAGGCAAGGGAGGGGAAAGGAAAGAAAAAAAGCUUUACUUAUAAAGUGAAGUAAAAUAUGCUACAUGAAAAUGACAAUAGAAAUGCGCACUGUUUGAAGAUGACAAGUCUGGGAACAAUCUUUAAUUUAAAGGGUCUUAUCCACAGUUUUCAUAAAGAAAUGUUAAUUAAAAGUGUGAUGACAUGUUUGGGAUUUAAAGGAAAUCAUUCUGCAAAGGAUUUAUAGCAAUCACAGCUCUAGAGCAUUAGGAUUACAGAUCCUUGUGCUGUUCCUUUUCAGCGAUCAUGUGAUUGGCCUGCUGUUAAAUAUAGCUCCCAUUUAGUGAAUUGAGACAAGCAUGGGAAAGGUAGGGAUAGUUUCCCUUUAACCAGCGGGAUUUCAGAGGUGUUGGAGAUUACACAAUUCAUUAGUUUUUACAUAAGAUCAAAGGGAGAGAGGAAGUCUUAAUUUGGGCACCAACUGCUACUGUCUGAAAGUCUUGCAGAUUAAAUGAGAAGUGAACAUGUGCGGUGCUAACUGCUUGUAUUAGAGCAUGAGCCUAUUGUUUUAUAUCUCACUAACUCAUUGUUCUCUUCCCGGAGAUAAUUCUCACACUUAAGACCUUCGGAGAUAGUUAUGUCUACUGUGAAUAGUUCGGCAACCAACUGGCUCAUAGGUUAUUGCCUAAGCAUCUUUCCCUUGGUCUAAUCCCCUGCAAGGUUUUUUUCUGAGCCGUGUUGUUAAUCUAAAAUGACUGCUAACUGACUCCUGUGUCAAACAUUAUUCAUUAUGUGCUUUAAAUGCUUCCUGCAGAGGCCAAAAUAAAUUUUGCUUUUUAAAAGCAGACCACAAGGAGUGCCUAUGUAGGAUACUUCCUAAAAGAUUAGACUCAAAAUGGCAGUUAAGAUGAUGAAGGGAAAAAAACUGUGCUCAAAACAAAGCUUCACAAUUUAACCAGGGACACACAAAAUGGACAAACCUCAGUUAUCAAAACCCACUUUUCAUAUGGAAUUAUCUAUAAGCUGUUCCUGUGAGAGAAAAAUAUGCACCCUUGCAGGGCAGGAGAAAUACUUCUAUGAAGACAUGGAAUAAGCGACUUUAUCAGAAAAUGAAGGCCAAAUAAACAAAAUUUUUAAAAGCAG